AUGAUGUAUGAUGAAGUAAAUCAGACGGAUUCCCAUUGAUUUUAUUCAAAAUAUGAUGUCACAACCGACUCUUCUUACUCAU